CGCGCAGGCGGCCAGGUCAGUCGAAUGUGAAAUCCCCCGGCUCAACUGGGGAGGGUCGUUCGAUACUGCCUGGCUUGAAGAUAGGAGAGGGAAGUGGAAUUUCAGGUGUAGUGGUGAAAUGCGUAGAUAUCUGAAGGAACACCAGUGGCGAAGGCGACUUUCUGGCCUACCCUUGACGCUGAGGCGCGAAAGCUAGGGGAGCGAACG
rnacentral:rRNA from 1 species